AUAAAAAGUGUUUCAUGCGUUUAAACGAUGGGUUUUGAAGGAAGGAGCCAUUCCGAGAUAUUUCCUGACACCCAAUGAAACUUCCCGACAACCAUUACAAAGCAUUUGCAAUGUGAAUAGGAGAAACAAUUCAAUAGCAAACCCUACUGUCGAUGAAAAGUGCAGGAAGC